GCCAGGUGUGGCGGCAUACACCUGUAAUCCCAACUGCUGUGGAGGCUGAGGUAGGAGGAUUGCAAGUUUGAGGUCAGUUUGGGUAACUUGGAUUUUGCCUCAA
rnacentral:sRNA from 1 species